UUCUGUCAUUCUCUUUGCGUAUAGUUCCCGUCGACGAGGUACGCUCCGGCGCAGCAGCAGCAAAAGCUCCGUGCAGUGCAGAUUGUGGCGGAAUAUCCAAUCAUUUCAAAGAAAUUGCGCCUCUGCUCUGCGGCGAAAAAUAAUUUUGUUUUCGCAGCAAUAGCACGAAACAGUACUAGAGGUUUCUUCAGGAACGAAACAGUACUAGAGGUUUCUUCAGGAAUUUUUUGCUCGACUGGCCUCCUCGCGGACGUUUUUGUCAGAAAUAGCCCCAUCCUGAACGAAAUGGCAAAAAUGGCUUGGCGGAAAGCCCAUAAAGCGACACGUGGCGUUUCCGCCAAUGGCAUUGGUGGAAGGGCGCGCGAAAGAGAUUUUCGACACACAGAGUCAAAUGCACAAACACUGCGCGAACUGCUACAGUACGUGCUAUAGUGCAUUCCGCCAUGCCAUUGGCCGAAAGGCCACGUGUCGCUUUUUGUGCUUUCCGUCAGGCUAGUUUUGUCAAUAGUUUUUGAAGAGGGCCAUUUUUAACAAAAGCGUUAGCCAGGGGUCCACUGCCACAAAAUUCGUUUCUUCAGUACUUGCGACCCCACAAUUCUAGAACUGUCGUCAGCUAUUACAAGCCUGCAAAGAUUGACCAGUCUAUAUGUUCCUAGCCACACUAGAUUUCCGGAUGGAAUGGUUGGUAACAUGCAAAGCUUGGAAGAUUUAGAGACAUUUGGCGUCUACUUCUAUGAACAAGAGAAGCCAUUACAAGAAUUGAGCCAGCUAAACAAGCUGUGGAGGCUGCAGGUACUACUGGGUAGAUUUGAAUUGUGGGAAGGAACAGCCCAAAUUGAGGGCCUUCACAGUGCCUGGGAACAUUGAUAUCUUCAUGCAGUCUUCGUCGCCUACAUAUCCACAAGUACGAAUAUCUUAGCGUGACAACUUAUUUUCCACUGUCACUGGAGUCGUGGUGCCCGACUACUGCUUGCCGUCUCCAGGAGUUACACGUCACAUACUGUUAUAUCGACAAGGUUCCAGAUUGAAUGAACUUGCUCCCAAAUCUUAGGGAAUUAGAACUCUAUAUUGUCACUGUGGCACCGGAAGAUGUUAGGAUCCUUGGAGCAAUACCCACUUUGCUUUUCCUGAAACUAAAGACUUUCUAUGGCACCGAUGGAAGGAUUCUCAUUUGUGGUUCUCAUUUGUGGUUUCAGUCGUUUGAAAUAUUCCUACCUGGAACUCCUUUACUGUGGGACCUCGCUGGAUUUUGAAGAAGGAUCAAUGCCAAGGCUCGAGCACCUCCAUCUUGAGUUCUGUGUGCAUGAGAUGGAGUGCCUGAAUGGUUCUUCAAGUUUUGGUAUCCAUCACCUCUCUGCCCUCCUCAAGGUUGAUGUCUGCAUUUUUUGCAACUUUGGCAAUAGCGACAAUCCGAUGGCAGGUUUGGAAAAUUGCUUUGGCAAAUAUAUGGGAAGCCUUAUCGAAACUGCCAUCAAGACACUUCCCAACAGUUCCCCGCUCCUUAUACCAGAUGGAAAUGUAGCAUUCGGAAAUGUGGACUGUGAACAUUACACAAACAUUUUAAGUUCUCUGCCAGAAUCGCAAGCAUUGGUUACUUAAGUUCAUCCUUCUAGUUUGCCCCUACUACUGUAUUUCUUUGUUCCAUCCCACAAAUUCUUGUCCGAGCAUGUAAUUACUUAAAAGAAAUUCAAACAGAUCGAGACGGACUAUGGGGAGGAUGGAGGGGGAGGUGCAGGAGCAAGCCACUGGCACAUGCGAGGAAAUCACGGGCUUAUGUGGUCAUUUGGUUAUACAAAAAGUGGCAACAUGGACGAAAAGGAAGGAGAGGGGAGGAAGAUGCCAAUGGUAAAGAAGAGAAAGAAGAAGAGGACAAAGAAGAACAAGAAAGUGAUGUACGAUGACAAUGACAAAUGCACACCGCUGGUUACUACUCAAGAUGGCAGACUAGGAGGCUGUGAUGAAGGACAGACCGACUAAGUUUUUUCGAAGACAACUGGAAUUGAUGCUCUGUUGAUGUUGCUAGAGUUCCUGUUCAGUCUUCUUCCUCUAUAAUUAGGUGGACCUGAUGUUGAGUCUUUCAUGUUGUUGAGAUCGUUUGCUGUCAAGGUGCCUGCUGGUUGUACUGUAGUGUUCAGAUUGCUGUCAUUUUCAUAUUCUUCUCUAUUUUGGUUGCUGCAUUUUGGGAUGCUAACGCAGCUGAGUUGUUCUUGCCUUGCUGUAACUGUUUGCGGGCAGAUUUUGUUUCAGUUAUGAAUGUCAGUGUAUGAAGUAGUGAGGACACCAGCUUUGCAGUGGAAGCAAACAGCCUUACUGUAGUUUUUUUUGCUCCCAGAAUAGUUGCAACUUAUUUUUCCAAGGUACUGAAUAAUCAGAGAUUCACGGUUUAAAGAUUGUAAUCCUGAAGUAUCAAACUAAUGCAGACUGAACUCAAUC